CUGACCUCCCUGGGCCACGCCCCCGACACUGCCCUUCCCGGGACGGGACCCCCCUCUCCGCGCCCGGGCGCCCCCCGCACCCCAGGAGCCCCGCUCCUUCCUUCGUGCGAGUGCGCCCGAGCGUUGCCUUUCGGGGACUCCCUCUCCCCGACCUCGCAGAGACCUGCUGUGGCUCCCCCGCCCCCCCAUCCGGCAGCUCAGACGUGGCUGCUGGGGGGUGGGGUGGGGGGAGGAGGGCGCGGUAUAAAGGGCCGGAGGCUGCGCGGGCCGAGACCCGAGACGUGGCGCGCCCACCCUACCGGCCUCAUCUUCAGCCACAUCGCUCAUGACAUUGCCAACUCAGCGGAGCAGAGCCCGGAGGGGCUGGAGAGACCACCACCACCACCCAGGAGAGGUGAAGAAGCCGCUGUAGGUCAGGAGUGCCCUCAGAGGGAACCCUGGAUAUUUGUGAUCUUUAAUGACUGGACGAGAUUGUAUUAACAACAUGAAAGAUCUCAGUCCAGAAAUCGUGGCCUCUGGGCAUUUACAUCUUAAACCAGAUUUUCGUACAGAUGAGCCAGGAGACACAUCACAGUCAUCAACCACAAAUGUUCUCUUGCUCUCGUUUUCCUUCUUUUAGAUCUGUGGCAUUUAAGAAUUAAUAAAACUGCUAGAUCAACAA